CCGUCACCGUAUUGGCUAGUUUUUCGCGUCGUUGGCCGCCCGUGCGCGUUCUCGCCGCAUCAAUUUUUUUUUUGGACUUUGACACCCAUUCCCGUCGUCGCCGCCGUCGCCGUCGUCACGAUUAUGGUGGUCCGGACGAACGAACGAAACGAUAUGCAAUCGUCAAACGGCGGUACGAUGUUUCGAUUACAAUGUCUCUAAGUGACAUUUGUCUAAUGUAUCUCUUAUUGUUUAAUUCUUAAUACCCGUUUUUUUCCCCGUUUUUUUUUCAAUUUUUUUUGUUUUAUUAUAAUUUUUUUUACGUUUUUUUUUUAUACACACCGUAUUAAUUUUCUUUAUUUUAAUUUAAUUUUAAAUUAAACUACUUUUUAUUAAAAAUUUUAUACUUGUACUUAGUAUUCUAAAUUCGCUUUAGCUCGUACAUAAUAUAACUCACAAAAACUACCACCGUUGUCGUCUUACGUUUAUAUAUAUAUUAUUGUAAUAUUUUAUACGUAUCUCUUCAACACGCGGGUGGAUUUCGAUUCGCCGUGAAGUAUAAGAAAAGUCACAAUAUUGCUCGUUCGUGUUCCAAAACCACAAUAUCAAAAUUCAGAAGAAAAAUGUCAACCGCCGUUGAUACGUCUCGUAGUUGCACCUAAAUUUUUUUCCCAAAAAAAUAAUCUCUAGCACCUAGAGUACCCCGAGGAUUCGUCGUUAGAAUUUUAUUCUCGGUUACUAGGACAUCAAUAAAUUAAAGUAAAAAUGAAAGAUAAACCGAAUUCAACUCGCAUUUAUGACGAGGAUGGAUUUCGCAGGCGAGCUGCUUGUAUAUGUGUGCGCAAAGAUUCCGAUGAGGUGUUGUUGGUGACUUCAUCUAGUAGACCUGAACAAUGGAUUGUACCCGGUGGUGGUAUUGAACCUGAAGAAGAACCAAGUGCUACUGCUCUAAGGGAAGUAGUCGAAGAAGCUGGUGUUGUGGGCAGACUACACAGAAGACUUGGUACAUUUGAAGAUAGGACUCAUAUCAGACGGCAUAGAACAGAUGUGUUUGUUAUGAUUGUAACAGAAGAACUAGCUGAGUGGGAAGAUUCUUUGGGCAUAGAAAUACAUCUAGUGUCAUACUUGAAACAAAAACGUGAGCAAACAAAAUACUAAGAUAAUAUGCACAUAAAAUAAGGCAGUGAUAAAAAUAAUAGUAAUACACCGUCAACAAACCAUAGUUUACAAGGUCGCAAACGCAAAUGGUUUAAAUUAGAAGAUGCACUGAAUAUGCUACGUCUACACAAGCCUACUCAACACACGUACCUGGAAAGUUUUGCUCUCAAUAAACAAAAAGCAAACAUCUGAAAAAGUCAUCCUUUUAAUAAAUUAUUUGCUCCAAAUGGAAAAAAAUACUCCCUAAAAUGUUUAGAUUAAAAAUAAUAUCAAUUCGCUAAUAGUUUUUAGUCUUAAGUCGAUGAAUUCAAUUUUUAUGUUUAAUAUCAAAUUAGGUUCAUUUACUUUUAGAUAUAAGGGAUAAAGAUUUUUUUUAUCAUUAUUAUUAUUAUUAUUAUUAUUUUUUUUAAUAUUGCAGAAUUUGUAACGCUUAAAAAACAAACAUAAUAAAAAAUCACUGAACUGAAUAAUAAUUUAUAAAACUUUUCUAACUACAUGUGUAUAUACAAUAUGUUAUAAUAAUAUAUCUUGUACGCACGGCUUCAGUGUUUAUGUUACUUAUUGUAUAAACAUUUGACAGACUGCCAAUAGCUUAGUGGAUUAAACUGCUGAGUUAUAUUAAUUAAAUUAGUUUAUACAUUUUUCAAUGUUAAAACUAUUAUAAACAUUUUUUUUUUUUCAUUUGUAACCAUAAUAUUUGUAACGCCCUUAACAUUUUUUUGGUUUGAGGGGAAAAAAUACAUUUGAAUAAAAAAAAUAUCUUGUUUA